GCCAGAGUUAAUCUAGCAGAAGAGGCACACAAUAGCCAAGGGUACUUAGUUACCGCGAAACCUUUGCCUCGGGAAGGUCUGAGAUAAAGUCGUGUCCCUUCUCCUCGAAGGGCAAACGCUCUAGAAGGGCGAUCCUAUAAAUGGAUGCGAGAAAACCAGAAACAGUGGGCCCACCCCAUUCUGUCGCCGUGGAUGGCCAGUUUUCUUCUUCUCUCACUCAUUCAUGUCCUCUCUUCUAUCCCUUCUCUGUCAUUUUCCCUCUUAGCCCUUUUCCACUGAUUCCUCGCAAGUACAAGAGGGGGAAACUGGCGGGAGGUUAUGUGGUGUGGUCGAUGGAAAUUCUUGUGACUCGCAAUUUCAGUACAAUCUGCAAGCCGUCCCUCCAUGUUCGUAUCCGUCCUCCUCGCGGAUGGACGUCGUUCUAAGGUGGGAUGGAACUCAAUUCAGACUAAUCUGACUCUGGC
rnacentral:RNase_P_RNA from 1 species